rnacentral:lncRNA from 1 species
CCGGGAGUGAUACAAAAUCGAACAUGAGGCCAUUUACAUGUUAAGAAUCUAAAAGUCAAGUAAGGUCUCUGAAAUUUAGAAACUAAUUGUUGAAAUUUUGAUAAUAGGAUAUUUAAAUUCUUACCUUUGAAAGAUUUAAGGAAAAAUGAUAGGAAAUAAUAUGUUCUGUGCUACUCUGUCGCAAAUUGAUGUUCCUACUGGUAUUACUUUCGCAUACUUCCACAAUCAACAAGUCCCUUCCACAAAUCAGGACGAGAAAUAAUACAUGUUCGGAUAAAAUAUAUGUCAUAUCAAUAUGUCAUAUCAAAAUAUAUGUCAUAUCAAUCAUAAUAAGAAUCAUCGACUUGAAACAUAAUAUACUCUAUAUUCGAGUGUUGAAGUGUGUUUAAAGAAUCAGCAAAAUUAUUGCUGAUCCAGGGACAUUGGACAUGGUGAACAUGAAAAGAACGAACUCAGUCAUCUCCACGAUGUACCAUCCUAUAGGCAACUCCAAAAUCAAAACAGCAUACUGCAUGUUCAUUGGUGGGCUAAUUUUAGUGUGUCUAGGAGCAGGGUUAAUUUUUACCACACUGACAGUCCGGCAUCCGUCUGCUGUACAUGUUGAUGAAACAUCUGUUCUUAUUAGCGGACCCACCUGCCUCGGCUUAGGACUUGUUGUGGUCAUCCUCACUGGUAACGAUAUGUGUAAGUAUCGAAAGGCCCAGAAUAGCGUGGAAUCGGAACUGAAUAAGGUGAUUAGUUCUGUAAAUAAACAAAAUUCAAGAAGCUUGCCGAAUAGUGGCGGACUUGGGCAAAUGACGAAUCCCAAGAUAUCAAUAGUUAUAAAUAAGGCUCUUUUUUGAAUUUCAGGGUCAAGAAGGAAAUUGAAAUAUUAGAAAAUAUGGCUUGCUAGUCUGUCUGACAUCAGCUGUCACAAAUUACCAAUGAUUUGAAAGAAAAAAAAACAAUUAAAUUCAUAGUUCUGCUGAGAAAACGAAAAAAAUUUUACUCACCAAGUUUGAAACUAGUAAUAAAUAUUUUAAACAUACGGCGUAUCUGACUAAGAAAAACUAUUAAACCAUGAUUUCAAAAUAGCCACCAAUUGGAGCAAUAACGUAGAGCAGUCUGUGGACAAAUUCAAAAGACUCUUGUGCAAAUAUUUCAGUUUAAAUUAUCUAAAAAUGCAGUCGAAACUUUGUUUUAUGGUUUUUCCAGUCAGCAAUGCCAUCUGUUAAUAAAAUUUGUAACUAAUUUUAAUACUUACGGAGAAUAAAUAACUGGCUUCUUAAGCACAAUGGACCAUGCAUUUAUAUCUCUAAUUUUGUUUUGUUCAUUUUUCAAAUCGUCGGUUUGUUUUGGGACGCAUAUUUGUUAGUCGAGCACGAAUAUUGAAAAUGCAAGUUCUGUUUUUAACACCGUGAAGUAUUUGUUCCUAUUGAAGAAUACAACAUUUAUCUUUCUUAAGAGUAAAAAUAGAACAUUUCUCGAAACAUGUUUAGCAAACAUAUCAAGUGUAUUCAGAAACGAUCUUCUGUUUGUUCGGAUCAAAGUUUGUUACUGCCAAGUUUGUUUGUUUUUCUUACAUUAAAUGUCAUAUUUUUAGCAAAUAAUGACUGUUGUGAGUUUGUAACAGUUAUUAUUCAAGACUGUAAGAUUAGAUUUUGAGUACUUUUAGUCAGCGCCUGUUAUGCUGAAAAUACUUAGUUUGUGAAAAGGCAAAGCAUUUGUGAUGUAUUUUUAAAAAGUUGCAUUGAGAGGGAUCAUAAAAUUUACAACUGAGAAUUGGGUGUUCUUAAAAA